GUUAAGGUUGUCAAGAAAGAGGAAACCGAGGAAGAGUUGGAGAACGCAGAUAUCUGCAUCGAGAGGCCCGAGUCGGUGAAGGAAUUGUACAAUGGAGAGAGUGAGAGUUUGCCUGUGGCAAAUUCAGCAGAGCGCAUGAGGUAGUGAUGACUCCGAGAGUGGCGCAAAGGACUUCAUGGAUGAAUUGCUGUGGAUUGCUUGAUGUCAUAACUGGGUCCAGGACAUAAUUUCCAGGUUUGUAUUUUCCAGUCACCUGGAAAAUUGGUAUGAUGGUUUCAUGGCAGAGAGCGGUGUCUAUUGCAUUCUAUACCUGCAUAAGCUAGGCUUUGUAAUAUAGCAGCAUUUACAUUUUUAUCAAGGAGUGUCUCUACUCUUUGAUGUCUCAGUUGUUACCUUUGAGGCUAGGCUAGUGCCGAAGAACUCGACCAUCGUGGAAAACUGUAAGAUUCUAUUUGUCAAGUGCAUAGAAUCGUGUUCCCUUCCCUAUUUCUAUAAACUCAGCAGUUACUUCCGGAUACUUCUACAUCUUACCUAUAUAAAUGAACUUGUUACGUAGCUUGGUCGACAUUUUCACGAA